UACGUAGGGGGCAAGCGUUGUCCGGAAUCAUUGGGCGUAAAGCGCGCGUAGGCGGCCCGGUAAGUCCGCUGUGAAAGUCAAAGGCUCAACCUUUGAAUGCCGGUGGAUACUGUCGGGCUAGAGUCCGGAAGAGGCGAGUGGAAUUCCUGGUGUAGCGGUGGAAUGCGCAGAUAUCGGGAAGAACACCCGUGGCGAAGGCGGCUCUCUGGGACGGUACUGACGCUGAGACGCGAAAGCGUGGGGAGCGAACAGG
rnacentral:rRNA from 1 species